CAUGGCUCAGAUUGAACGCUGGCGGCAUGCCUUACACAUGCAAGUCGAACGGCAGCACGGGAGCAAUCCUGGUGGCGAGUGGCGAACGGGUGAGUAAUAUAUCGGAACGUGCCCAGUCUGGGGGAUAACGUAGCGAAAGCUACGCUAAUACCGCAUACGAUCUAUGGAUGAAAGCGGGGGAUCGCAAGACCUCGCGCGAUUGGAGCGGCCGAUAUCAGAUUAGGUAGUUGGUGGGGUAAAAGCCUACCAAGCCUUCGAUCUGUAGCUGGUCUGAGAGGACGACCAGCCACACUGGAACUGAGACACGGUCCAGACUCCUACGGGAGGCAGCAGUGGGGAAUUUUGGACAAUGGGCGCAAGCCUGAUCCAGCAAUGCCGCGUGCAGGAUGAAGGCCUUCGGGUUGUAAACUGCUUUUGUACGGAACGAAACGGCUCUUUCUAAUAAAGGGAGCUAAUGACGGUACCGUAAGAAUAAGCACCGGCUAACUACGUG
rnacentral:rRNA from 1 species